rnacentral:rRNA from 1 species
UACAAACAGACCGUGAACAUGUCAUCCAUCCCGCACGUGGUUCUACCCGUGCAAGGCCCCCGACCUUUCCGAAGGAGAGGGGCCGCAAAAGAACCCACGGCGCCGAAGGCGUCAAGGAAAACUGAUAUUGCCUUGCUCGGGGCUGUGCUCGGCUUGCCGAGCACACCUCGUGCAGCGAUGCUAUCUUAAUCCACACGACUCUCGGCAACGGAUAUCUCGGCUCUCGCAUCGAUGAAGAACGUAGCAAAAUGCGAUACCUGGUGUGAAUUGCAGAAUCCCGCGAACCAUCGAGUUUUUGAACGCAAGUUGCGCCCGAGGCCUUCUGGUUGAGGGCACGCCUGCCUGGGCGUCACGCCAAAAGACACUCCCAACCCAAACCUGGGGAAGGACGUGGUGUUUGGCUCCCCGUGCUGCAAGGCGCGGUGGGCCGAAGUUUGGGCUGCCGGCAUAACUUGUCGGGCACCGCACGUGGUGGGCGACAUCUAGUUGUUCUCGGUGCAGUGUCCUGGCAUGCAGCUGGCUUAUUGGCCUCAAGGACCCAUACACGACCGAAGCGUUUAGGCGCUCGGACCGCGACCCCAGGUCAGACGGGACUACCCGCUGAGUUUAAGCAUAUCAAAAGCGGGAGGAAA